CGGACCAAGUAGAAGCAUCCCGCUUCUCACCUGUAGCGACGCACAAGCUGUUGGCAGGUUAACGACAAUUACAUGUAUGUUAAUGUGCGUUAAGGAGCGGGAGACAUUUAUGUCUUUCGCUCUUUUUUGCUUGG
rfam:Staphylococcus massiliensis S46 Contig02, whole genome shotgun sequence.